ACUUCGCCUGCCUACAGCCCCACUUCUCCAUCUUACAGCCCCACUUCGCCAUCUUACAGCCCCACUUCGCCAUCUUACAGCCCCACUUCACCUUCUUACAGCCCCACCUCACCAAGUUAUAGUCCAACUUCUCCAUCAUAUAGUCCCACUUCUCCUGCAUACAGUCCUACCUCCCCUGGUUACAGCCCAACAUCUCCCAGUUACAGCCCAACAUCACCAUCUUAUAGUCCUACAUCACCAAGUUACAAUCCCUCGGCGAGAUACAGCCCCUCCCUUGCAUAUUCGCCAACCAGUCCAAAGCUGUCUCCGUCUAGUCCAUACAGCCC
rnacentral:lncRNA from 1 species